GUCCCCUUCGUCUAGUGGCCUAGGACACCGCCCUUUCACGGCGGUAACAGGGGUUCGAGUCCCCUCGGGGUCACCA
rnacentral:tRNA from 1 species